GAUGAACGCUGGCGGCGUGCCUAAUACAUGCAAGUCGAGCGAACAGAUGAGGAGCUUGCUCCUCUGACGUUAGCGGCGGACGGGUGAGUAACACGUGGAUAACCUACCUAUAAGACUGGGAUAACUUCGGGAAACCGGAGCUAAUACCGGAUAAUAUAUUGAACCGCAUGGUUCAAUAGUGAAAGACGGUUUUGCUGUCACUUAUAGAUGGAUCCGCGCCGCAUUAGCUAGUUGGUAAGGUAACGGCUUACCAAGGCAACGAUGCGUAGCCGACCUGAGAGGGGGAGCGCCCACAUUGGAACGGAGACACGGUCAAGCGCCAAGGGGGGGGAGCCGGAGGGGAUUUUCCGGAAAGGGGCGAAAGCCUGAAGGAACAACCCGGGGUGAGAGAUAAGGUUUUCGGGCUCUAAAAACUUUUUUAUGGGGAAAAAAAAAAUGUGUAAGUAAAUAUGCACGUCUUGACGGUACCUAAUAAAAAAGCCAGGGCUAACCACGUC
rnacentral:rRNA from 1 species